ACCAGAGUGUGCCUUAGCUUUACUCGCUUUAUAGGUGGAUAUUAUGAACACUGCCUCCUACACAAGACACAGGCUGCCAAGAAUGAAACAUGGGCCAUUCAAGUGCUGCAGGAGUUAAUAAGAAAAUGAGUGUGUUUAAAUGUUGCAGAGCCAAGCAUCUACUGCGUGACUGGAUGGACAUUGUCCCUUGAAUUGAAAGCCUGGAGAGAGAGAAACAGAAACAGGAUGCAUGUUUAAUUUCUGGCUAUAUUAUUUUCCAAUUUCUUUCAACCAAUGUGAGCAUUUUUUAAAAACCUAGCAUGUUGAGAUUUGAGUAUGUUUUAUGGAAAUAAAACAGUUUAAAGCUAGCUGUUUGGCAAUUCUACAUAAUUUAUUCACCCUUUCUAGGUGAUAUAUUUCAGCAUAACUGAGUUAGCACAUCAGAUUUCUUCUGAAUGAUGAAGGAAUAAGAGGUCCCAGUUUCUAUGAUUUGUCCUUGUCUUGUGUGUAAGGUAAAGGUAAAGGUUUUCCCCUGAUGAUAAGUCCAGUCGUGACCGACUCUGGGGGUUGGUGCUCAUCUCCAUUUCUAAGCCGAAGAGCCGGCGUUGUCUGUAGACAUUUCCAAGGUCAUGUGGGCAGCAUGACUGCAUGGAGCGCCGUUACCUUCCCGCCGGAGCGAGUCAAUGCUGUUAAAAAACUGCAGCUAGACCGAGGAUGAAGAGAAAAAGGCUGGUCUGGACUGAUGCAAAAGAAGCCUUUGUAAAAAGAAGCUUUGCUGUUAGACACUCUUAAUUGAGGUGCACUGGGAGCCCCCCAGUGGCGCAGUGGGUUAAACCCUUGUACCAGCAGGAUUGAUGACUUGAAGGUUGGGUUGCUGAGCUGAAGGUUGCCAGUUCGAAUCCAACCCGAGGAGAGCACAGAAGAGCUGCUCUAUCAGCUCCAGCUCCAUGCAAGGACAUGAGAGAAGCCUCCCACAAGGAUGAUAAAAACAUCAAAACAUCCGGGUGUCCCUGUGCAACGUCCUUGCAGAUGGCCAAUUUUUCACACCAGAAGUGACUUUCAGUUUCUCAAGUUACUUCUAACAUGAAAAAAAAUCCAGUUGCACUGAUCUAUAUGAAUAUUUUGGCUCUAAGUUGUGUACUUUGUUCUCCACUGCCAUGAAAGGCAUGCAAUCUCUGCACUCCAUUUUACUGUGGCUUCAUGUGACACCAAACAUGUACUCCAUAGAAUUUUCCAAUUCUUUAGAUUACAUUUUUAGGGCACUUUAAUGUCUUCAAGAGUGAACACCAAUUUUGGCAGAAGUAGAAUCAGAUGAAAGUACACAAUUAGAUCCUGCUUUUUAACAAACUUAUUUUUAAAAUGUUCCUUUUGAUCCAAAACAACACAUGCUGUCGUGGCUAUAGCUAUGAUGAUGACUAGUAUAGCAUUGUACAUCAUUAGAUCCUGUUUUUAACCAAUUUAUUUUUAAUGUUCCUUUUGAUCUAAAACAACACAUGCUGUCACUGCUGUAGCUAUGAUGACUAUUAUAGCAUUGUUCAUAACAAAUUAUUAUCAACAAAUUUCAGUUAAGCACAAAUGCUUUUGCCGGCUAUCAGGACAUCUGGUAAGACUAAUGUUAUAUCAGUACCACCAUCAGAGUUAGUCUGACAAUAGUAACUUCUGUGUCUGCCCAUUGCAUAAACUAACAUUC